UUGCUGGACUAUUUUAUUUAUAUUUAAACAAUCAAAAUAACAAUAGGUCCAAAGUAAAACAUUGAUCCGAGUACACAAUAUUGACCCGGCCCAUACGUGGGAUAUGAAAGGUUUCUAAAAAUUGAAACAUAAGGCAUUUCUUUGUUGACGUACACAGUACUCUUUAGCAUCCCUCUCCAUGAUCUUGUCUCUCCGGAGUGAAUCUUGAAUUUGUGUUGUACUUGUUGUGGGCCUCUUAUCAUUGCUAUCAUGCUCUUUCUCACCUGGAUCAGAAAAUUCUUUUUUUACGGUGAUGUUGUAUCCUAGUUGAUGAGGAGAUCAAAUUGCUGUGAAUAAAAGCUCCAUCUGUGCUAGGGUGUUUAGCUUGUGUUAACACAAUAGAAUAAUUGGUAUACUUUCUCUACCUCUGGUUCUUUCCCAUUGCCUUGUAAUUGGGACCCACUGCUCUUCCUAGCUUACUUUGUGACUGCCUCAUGCUCUCCUUCUUGUUACUAUUAUACAUAUGAAUUGCCUUUCCUUGUUCUGAUUCUCAAAUUGGAGAUCUGUGUUUUGUCCAUGUUUACAAGCUUUCUUAUCUUUGUUGGUAGCUCAUAAAAAUUAUGAUAAUCUUUAACUAUUUAUGCAUCUAUCACUUCAUUAGCUAAAGCAUCUGUCACUGUAUUUCCUUCUCUGAAAGUGUGUUGUAGUUGAACUUGAAUUGAAGUGACCCUCUCUCUUAUGUCUUCAAUUUAUUCCACUAGUUCCCAUGGUACUUUCCACUGUUUAUUUAUCAUUCUCAUCAGUACUAGGGAAUCAGUUUUAAUUGUUACCUUAUUGAAUGCCUUCUCUUGCAUGUAAUGUAGAGUUUCUUUAAUUGCUUUCAUUUCUUCUUGAGUAUUAGUUGUGACUCCCAAUCCUUUAGCCCUUGCAUAAAUCAGAUCUCUUUUAUCGUCCCUAACACAAAAGGCACAAACACUUAUUCCUGGGUUGCCUUUACUUGCUCCGUCAGUGUUAUAUUUGAGCGUAUUCUUCUCAGGGAACCUCCAAACCACAUUGCAAUAAUGUAACUUUGGUUUGUAAUUUCUCAAAAUGUACACCACUGUUGCAAAUUCUCCUUCCCAAUUUAUAAUCCAAAGGUACAUCUUCUUUAUCAGCUUCUUUAUCACUUCCUGACUCUGCCACACCGAAUCCCCAUAUUUGAUAUCUCCAUGUAUUCCUUCUUCUUCACAUGUUCCACAUGAUAAUUACUCGAAUUGCUUUAAAUAUUGCUUCUAGUUUUGGUGAUGCUUUCAUUGUCCACCAGGCCAUGAUAAUUUCCUGUAAAUUCAUGUCCCCUAUGUCAAUACCUGCAAAAAUAGCAAACUCUCUCCAUAACUUUGCAGCUAUGGGGGAUGUUAGAAAUAAAUAGUUCAUAAUUUCUUCCUCCUUCACAUCACAACACCAACAUCUAGAAACCACUUUUAUCCUCGUUCUUUUUAAAUUAUCAUUAGUGGCAAUCCUCAUUCUCCAAGCCCUCCAUAAAAUGAAAUUUAUUUUAAAAGGUAACUCUUCUGCCCAUAUCAACUUAUAGUCCUCUCUUUUCUCCUUUUUCCGCCUCAAUCGUUCCCAGGCUGACUUGACUGUGAAACUACCCUGAGUAGUCUAUCUACCAUGGUACAUCAUUUUUUGCAUACCUUUGUGGUUGUAUAUUCUCAAUGAUAUGAUUAGCCAUCUCUUUUGAUUGUACACUCUUCAAUUUCCUGUCAUUUCGUUCUCCAUUAAUACGGAAAUCCUUAACUUCCAAUUCCUCUUCUUGUACAUUGUCCUCUUCCAUAAAAUAUAAAGUACCUUGCUUUGUCCAGUUGUCAAACUAAAAACUGGAAUUCCCUGAUUUAAUCUGCCACCAUAUAUUAUGUUUCGCUUCUUCCCUUACAUCCACCAACUUCCUCCAAACAUAUGAAACCCCUAAUUCCUUAGUCAGAUUUGGAUGAAGCUUUUUACAACUCAGUCCACAUAGAUGAAGUAGAGAUUCUAAAGUUCCACCACAACUUGUCAAAAAGAGCCUUUGACACAGUAUGUAAGGAUCUUAGUCCUAUUCCACCCUCUUCCGGUAGGAAACACAAAUUCUCCCAUGACACCCAGUGUUUGUUUCUAGAUCCAAUAGAAUUAGCCCCAAAAAAUUAGCAAAAAUUCUAUGAAGAUGGUUAAUAACCCCCACAGGUGGAUUCAUAGCAUAUAAAAGAUAAAUAGGUAUAGAUUGAAGAACAUGUUUAAUCAAAAUGUAUCUACCCCUAAAAGAUAACAACUUAUUCUGCUACAUACUCAAUCUCUUCAACACCUUUUAAACCAAUUCUUCAAAAUGGCCCUUAUUCUUCCUACCAUAAAACACAGGACAACCUAAAUAGAUAAAAGGGAAAGAUCCUUUCUUUAUUCUAGUAAUUCUUCUAAUUAUAUUACUAACACCUGUCGGGACUUUAUCAUGUAAUACAAGAAGCUCUUAUCCAAAUUUAUUAACUGAUCAGAUACCUUUUCAUAUUCCCUUAGUAUGUGCAUCAUCUUUUUCAUUGAUCAAGGCUGCCUUGAGCAAAAAAAAAUUGUAUCAUCAGUAUAAGAUAGGUGAUUGAUCUUUGGACACCAUUUUGACAUACCAUAACCCAUGUACUCUGGAUCUUCAAAUAAGUCAUUUAAACUUCUAGCAAGCACCUCUGCUACAAUGAUAAAGAGAGUAAGAGACAAUGGAUCUUCUUGCUUCAGUCCCCUAAAUAAUUGAAAGAAUCUGUAGGCUUGUCCAUUAAUCAAGAUAGUGUACCAGUUAUUACAAACCAGUCUUACUAUCAUAUCAAUAAUUUUUUCUGAGAAACCAAACCUCCUUAGGACCAGCACCAAGAAUUUUCAUGAACCCUAUCAUAUUCCUUGGCCAUGUGCAGCUUUACCACUACAUUAUGAAAUUUGUUCAUUUUGUGAAUAUCCCUUAUGAUUUCUUGUGCAAGGAGCACAUUUUUAGUAAUGUUUCUUCCUUUUCACAAACCCUGCUUAAUUAGGAGAAAUCAGUCUGGAAAUACUUUUACUAUUCUGUCAUGAAUAAGUCUUGAAAUAAUCUUACUAGUAAAAGUACUUAGACUAAUAAGUCUGAGAUCAUCAAAGUUCUUCACCACCUUUUUUGGGGGGAUUAGUACCAGAUUAGUAUGAGUUACAUACCUUGGAAGCUCAAAUCCAUAGAAAAAAACUCUCACAUUAUUAAUAAUAUCUUUACCUAUUAUCUCUCAGCUUGCUUGAAAAAACUGUCCUGAGAAUCCAUCUGGUCCACUAGCACUAUCAGCAUUGAGUGAGAAAACCACUCUUUUGACCUCUUCUACAACUGGCAUUGUUCCCAUUUCCAAAUUAUCCUCUUCGUAGAUCAGGGCUAGAAUACAAUUAAUCAUAUCAUAGUUUGCUGGCUCUGGACCCUAUUUGAAUUAUUCUUUAAACACAUUUACUGCUUCUUCUCUAAUAUUCUGAGAUGAGUUGAUCAUAUCUCCUUGCAUUGUGAGAAUUUCUUUUAUCUGCAUCUUUCUUCUCCUUUCUUUCACAAAAGCAUAAAAAAAAAUUGUGUUCCUAUCACCAUCUGUAAACCACCUCAUUUUAGCUUUGUAUUUCUAAUAUUCCUCUUUAAUUUUCAAAUACCUUUUUAAGUUUGCUUCUGCAAGUUUCAAUUCACUUCUACUUUCCUCAUUGGUAUGCACUUCAAGCUGUAUUUCCUUCACCUUAACAAUAUCUUUCAGAGUUGCAAUCUGCUAAAAUAUGUUACCAAAUGUGUUAUUGAUCCAAGUAUUCAGACUGCUCUUGACUUUCUUAAUUUUUGUCUGAAAAAUAGUAAAUAGUGAUCAUGUUACCUCAAUACCCCAACUUUCUUCCACCACUUGUUUAAACUCUUUGUCUUUUGUCCAAAAAUUUAGGAAUUUGAAUGGUUUCAUAAUCUGCUCCUGAGCAUCAUUGCAUAUCACCUGCAAUGGUGCAUGAUCUGAACCUUGUCUGAUAAGAUGAUGUACCUCACUAUUCGAAAGCAAUUGCAUAAAUUUAAUAUUUCCAAGAACUCUAUCUAGUCUCUUGAAAAUAUUGUCUUCCGCUAUUCUUUCAUUCCACCAAGUGUAUAUGCUUCCAAUAUAUCUAAUCAUAUUAAGAGAGCAAGCACUCAUACAAUACACAAAAUCACUUGUCUCUUGUUGAGUGACUUGUAGGCCUCCAAGAUUUUCUGAUUCAUUAGCUAUCAUGUUGAAAUCCCCACCAACUAACCAUGGGAUAUUAGUUUGUUCUGCAAUAUUUUCAAGAUAUUUCCAUAAUUUCAAGACGAACCUUUCUUUCUUCAUGUAUUCAUUUGUGAUUGAGGCAACCCAUGCUUAGCACCUUUUUUUCCUUUUCCCUUUAGUUGUCUAAUUUGUCUAGGAGAUAAAUCCCCACAUCUACUAAUUUCUUCAACAUUUGUUUUCAUACAAUUAUCCUCUUCAGUAUUCUUCUUUUCUGCAAUUUCAUGUUCAUUUAAAGUGUUUCUUUUUGGAUUUUGUUGUUGUGCUAUCUUUUUCUCUUCACUUCUUCCUGACUGUUGUUCCUGGUUACGGAUUUGAUGUGUGUGAGCAAUAUCUUCUCCUUUGUUUCUUCCUUCAAUAUCUAGUACACUCUCUUGAACAUGUUUUGGAGUUUCUUCUGGUGAACUCUCUUUUUCAUUCUGUAUGCUUUUUUUCUGGUGAUUUUGAUGAACUUACUGACAUGACUUCCCUUUCUUCGACAUUAUUAACUUUCCCAGAUGACUCCUCACUCUUCUACUCCUUGUUUUUGCUACUAGAGCCUAUAUUAGAUUUAUUCUCUAGAUGAUUCUCUGUUCUUUUCUCUUAAUCUUCACUUUCCUUAUUGUUCCGCUGCUUCUUAUCUCCCUUAUCCUCUUCUGAGUUCUGCCCAUUGUCUCCCAAGGCUUCAAAUUUAUUAUCAAUAGCUACGUCUGGUAGUUUAGGAUUCCAUGUCUUUCCCAUUCUUUCCCUCUGAUUUUGUCCACUUCUUCUAUAUCCACCCUUUCUUCUUUGUUGUUGAAAAUCAUUAUUGAACUUCUUUUUUUCCCUAUCUUCUAGUGUUGUUUUAUCCUCUUCAUUACGCACUUUCUUUAUCUUUUCAUGGUGUUGUUCUUCUUGUGACUUCUCUUUUGUAUCACCAUCUUCUUCUUUAGGGCAUAAAUCAUGAUGAAGGAUGUAACAUUCCUUCUCAUUAUGACCCUGUAACUUACAAUUUUUGCAAUAUUUAGACACAUAGUCAUAUCUGAUACUCACCCAUUUCUCCCUGAUUUUUCCUGUCUUUAUUUUUGUACCUAUGUUAAUUCUUUUCGAAAAUUCCCCAAGAAGAUCUACUUCCACCUUAACUCUAGCACAACUUGGCCUUGUUUUAUUUUGGGCAGCAAGGUCAACUUGCAAUGGUUUUCCUACUGCAGCCACCAAUGAAAACACUCUCCUUCCCAAAAAAAUUUGGUGGUAGAGUAGGAAAUGAUAUCCAUAUAAUAGCAAUAGAUGUUUCCUCCUCAGGGUUAAACAAUGGAUCCCACUUCAAAGUACGCAUAGGGUAUGACCAAUGUUUAUGUGUUAUAUGGAAUUGAGGCUUAGAGAGAAAGAGCACAUAAUCAUCCACUCUUGUUGCUCUAGUUAGAAUGUAUCUAUUGCUUAAUAACCCAAUAUUUACUUCCCUUUUCAAUUCGCAUUGCUUGGGGCUCAACCUCCUCAAAUUUUGAAUUUCUGGCCAACCAUAUGAAAAUUUUUCAAUCACUGCAUAUUGAAGAUCUUCGUUAAUAAUCAUUUAAUGAAUCUCCUCUUCCUCCAAUGUCACCCUAGGUUCUCCAUGCAAAUACGCUAUCUCCUUCAAAGGGAUGGGCUUAUGAAUCUGUGUCAUUGGUUUAAUGGUGCCAACAUACAUAGGUUUGUUAUUUUCUUUAACUCCAAACUCAGAAGAUGAUGCUAGUCUAGUCUCCACUAAAGGAGGAGGCUGGCCAACGGCCAUUAAGUCCCAUAAUCCGAUCAAAAUUUUGAUCAAAGUAUAUGACGGCGAUGGAUUUAGGGUUUUUUUUAAUUCUAGAAAGUGACGUUAUGUAAAUAUGUAAAAGAAUUUUUUUAAAGCAAAGUUUUCAUAAAUUUCAACAAAUUUAUUUCUAAUCAUUCUCUAUUCCUAUUAUAUGCAAAAUUAUAAAUAA